UACGUAGGGUGCAAGCGUUAAUCGGAAUUACUGGGCGUAAAGCGUGCGCAGGCGGUUUUGUAAGUCUGUCGUGAAAGCCCCGGGCUCAACCUGGGAAUUGCGAUGGAGACUGCAAGGCUUGAAUCUGGCAGAGGGGGGUAGAAUUCCACGUGUAGCAGUGAAAUGCGUAGAGAUGUGGAGGAACACCGAUGGCGAAGGCAGCCCCCCUGGGCUAACACUGACGCUCAUGCACGAAAGCGUGGGGAGCAAACAGG
rnacentral:rRNA from 1 species